UGGGCAACCUGCCCCUCUCUCUGGGAUAACCCCGGGAAACCGGAGCUAAUACCGGAUACUCCGGCUGGAUCGCAUGGUCCGGUCGGGAAAGGUCCGCCGGAGAGGGAUGGGCCCGCGGCCUAUCAGCUUGUUGGUGGGGUCAUGGCUCACCAAGGCGACGACGGGUAGCUGGUCUGAGAGGACGACCAGCCACACUGGAACUGAGAUACGGUCCAGACUCCGUACGGGAGCA
rnacentral:rRNA from 1 species